rnacentral:tRNA from 2 species
CGGGGCGUAGCGCAGUUUGGCUAGCGCGGUUGCUUUGGGAGCAACAGGUCGUCGGUUCAAAUCCGGUCGCCCCGACCA